AUCUUGAAUAUAAAAGUUUUUCUCAGUCUACUAUUGUGAAAUCCCUUUUAAAAUUUUUUUUCAUUGUUUUUUUUUUCUUUUUGUUGUUAAAAGUCGCAAUGCGUCAUUUUAGCGCAAUAGGAAUCCCUUGCAAUGGUUCAAUUCAAUUCAGUAUUUACAAAGAUAUGUCAAAUGGAAAUGAACUGACUGAUAUUCCUAUUAGACUUAAAACUUUAAUGCCACCAGGCCUUUUUUACUCCCUGGUUCGAGAUAUCCCUCCCUAUACACCAAAUACAGACAAACAAACGACAGUCACAAAUAUUAGUAUAGAUAUUGUUUACAAGGGAUUCCUAUAGCACUAAAUGACGUGAUGUGACUUUAGUACAAGGUCACAUUAUCCAGACAGAAAAAAUUAAAUUUCACAUCAUUUCGGAAAGGCAUAAAAUAUACAGCUGUAAAUGAUGAAAUAUAAACAAAAGUUAAAAUUUAUUUAUUUGCAUGAAACAUUUGUUCACACUCUUUUUAUUUCUGGGGUUUUAAUUAAUAAAUAACGGUUAUUGUACAGGUUUUAAUUUUGACGACAAUUUUUACUGAAUUAAUUUGAAUAUAUUUGUAGAUUUUUUAAAUAUAUUUUGAUUACAUAAUAAUUGAUUAUUGGGUCUGGAACCUCAAAGUUGAUUUGUUUUAGUUGUCAUUGGAAACAUAUACAUACUAUUUCCAUCAGUUUUAGAGUUUUUAUGGGGAAACAAUAAAACAGUCUGGAACCACAAAGUUGAUUUGUUUUGGUUGUCAUCGAAACAUAUACAUACUAUUUCCAUCAGUUUUAGAGUUUUUAUGGGGAAACAAUAAAACGGUCUGGAACCACAAAGUUGAUUUGUUUUGGUUGUCAUCGGAAACAUAUACCGGUACUAAUAAUUCCAUCCGUUUAGAGUGUAAGAGAGAAACUGAUCUGAUGUCCCCUUUAACCAAAACAGCUUCUGUAUAGUAGUAUACAUAAUAUUAAAAUAAUAUGACUAGUAUACAUAAAUAUUAAAAUAAUAUGACUGUAGUAUACAUAAAUAUUAAAAUAAUAUGACUGUAGUAUACAUAAAUAUUAAAAUAAUAUGACUGUAGUAUACAUAAAUAUUAAAAUAAUAUGACUGUAGUAUACAUAAAUAUUAAAAUAAUAUGACUGUGGUAUACAUAAAUAUUAAAAUAAUAUGACUGUAGUAUAUAUUAAAAUAAUAUGACUGGUAUACAUAAAUAUUAAAAUAAUAUGACUGUGGUAUACAUAAAUAUUAAAAUAAUAUGACUGUGGUAUACAUAAAUAUUAAAAUAAUAUGACUGUGGUAUACAUAAAAAUUAAAAUAAUAUGACUGUAGUAUACAUAAAUAUUAAAAUAAUAUGACUGUAGUAUACAUAAAUAUUAAAAUAGUAUGACUGUGGUAUACAUAAAUAUUAAAGAGUUUAAAAUAAUGAUUACCAUAUGAUUGGCAUAUUCCCAAACUAUUUAAAUUCAAAUAUAGGAUAUUGGUCUUGACAUGUUGUUUAGGCAUAAAACGCUUAAUAUAUUGUAAUAACCAGGAAUUACUUUAUUCCACAGUGAUUACAUCAUUGGGGGUCUCUCAAUGAUUAGUUUUGGAUAAAAGCUCUAAUUAUCUGUUGAUCAGGUCGCUGGGUACAACGUGGACCUUAUAACUUAUUAUAAGGUCCAUGGAUAUACCACUGAUAAUCGCCAGUUAAUCCACAGAUAGGCAUCCACGUAGUUGUGAGUCUCCCAUUGAUUGGUUGGCCAAACUUUGGACUUGUUUAUAACCUUUUUUUUUGGUUAGUUUAUUUGGCAUUUUUUUUAAUGAUAUUAUUUUAUGAAAGACACUAUGAUUGGUUAGGACUAAAUGGCAUCCCAACCAAGCAUUUACAACAUUGAGGCAGACAUUAUUUCAUGUAGCAUUUAAAGAAUUUGGGUAACAGAAAUGUCAUGGGCUAAUUUGGAAAUAUUUAGAUGUAAAUAUAUUUGAUUUUAUAUAUGUUUUGUAUAUGAUUAGAUUGUGAAUUUUAACAUUCUUAAUGUGUAAUAUUAUAACUAAUAUGAGUAUUCUCAGCUUUAUAUAGUGUAUUCCUGUAUGUAACAAGGGGCAGAUCCAGGAAUUUUUGCAGGAGGGGGUUUGUCAGGUUCCUGUUAAGGAAAUUUGACAGUUGACAAUACAUGAUCAUCAUAGGCAUGAUAGACAUACACACUGAGCUUUUAAAGGGAGAAAUCCAACUCCCCGUUUGACGUCAAUUUUUAUUAUGUAUUAAUAGGAUCACCCACUGCCCCCCCCCCCUCGACCCCCACCCCUGGAUCCGCCCCUGGUAAAACUUUUAUAUUAGGAUGAUUUCAUCUGAAUUUAGACCUGGAAAUACCGGUAGAAUUUAUGAUACAUGACAGAAUAUCAGGCACUAUUCCCCCCCCCCCCCCAAAAAAAAACAAAGAAAGAAAGAAAGACUAAUCUUUGCCCGGACAAAAUGACAGAACAACACCACAAGAAUUAUACCUGAUUAUUCCUGAAUUUUUACCUGACAUAUGGUUUUAUUAUCAGGUUUGCCUUAAUUCUAAAAAUUUUAAAUUUUUAAUUUACAUAAUAAAAGAUUUUUGUAUAUAGAUAUAUGUGACUUGAAAAUAUUGUGCCAUGAUUCAAGAAAAAAGAACACUGUGAACUCUGAUUUUGCAUUAAAAGUUGAUAUAUUCCAAGUGGGACAAAUGCAGCGCCAUCUUGAUGGGUGGACACAUACAUAUCUUAGAAGUUCUGUUUAAUUAAGGGAUUUUUUGGCAGGACAUUUUCAAUCAAUAAUUUGAAUGAAAAUAUUUAUGACAUCAAUAAUUUUAAUGAAAAUAUUUAUUACAUCAAUAAUUUUAAGGAAAAUAUUUAUUACAUUAAUAAUUUUAAGGAAAAUAUUUAUUACAUUAAUAAUUUUAAGGAAAAUAUUUAUGACAUCAAUAAUUUUAAGGAAAAUAUUUAUAAAAUCAAAAGUUAUUCAAUGGUUAAUUCUUUAUCUGCAUAAAGCAGUGGUUGUAAGACUUUGACAGUAUAUUUUUUCCUGUGCUAAUUUUGAGUGCCUUAGCAUGACAUAACAUUGUAUUUUUUGCAUGUUUUAUAUAAAAGAGGUAGACAUUAGUUAUGUGACUGACACUGUUUACUGUGUUUAAUACUUUAAAUUGGUAGUAUCCCUUUAGCAAUUGUCCUGCUCAGUGGCUUAUUGGACUGAUUUAAGAGGGUUUGGAUUGAUUUAAGAGGGUUUGGACUGAUUAGAGAGGGUUUGCACUGAUUGGACUGGGUUUGUGCAUGAACUUAGGCUGCAUUAAAUGUUUUUUCUUAAAUUUGAAAUUACCAGGCAUUAAAGCAUAACUGUGGAAAGAAUUAUUCAUUGGUUUUGUCAUGAUUUGUUCCAAUUGUAUACUGUAUUAAUGUUAAUGCAUACAAUAGUAAUGUUAACACAAUGUUAAUGUUAACACAAUGUUAAUGUUAACACAAUGUUAAUGUAUACUAUGUUUAUGCAUACACUAUUAUGUUAAUGGACACAAUAUUAUGUUAAUGAUAUUAAUGUUAACGCAAACAGUGUUAUGUUAAUGCAUAUAAUAUUAAUGUUCAUGCAUAUAAUAUCAAUGUUAAUUAAAACGAUAUUAAUGGUAAUGAAUAGAAAUAUUUAUUCGAAAUCGCUCAACAGAAUUAAGCAUCCAUUCCAUGUUUUCGGUAUUUAGAACCCUUUUUGGGAUUUAUAUAAACUGCUCUCAAUAAGCUAUGCAUCACUACCUGCUCUAAAGAGAAACUCACUCCCUAUUUUUGGUGUUUUAAAACUUGCUCAUUCUAUAGGAUAAUUUUCUACUGCUUCAUUAAGAUUAUUUCUGUAUUUAUUGGGAAAUUCUUGAUGUAAAGAUGAUUAUGUUAUAUAAUGUGUAAAACAGGUAUCGUUUUAAAGCUUGAUAACCAUACCUGUAUGUGUAUUGAAACAUAGCAUGUUAAUCAAAUUCAGAAGUAGGGUAUCCAUAUAAGUGUGUUAAUUUUAGUGAAAUCUAUUUUUAUAUGUCUUAUAAGGAUUAUUUUUUUGGUAUUAUAUCCAAAUAAUUUUAGUAAAUUUCCAUUAUGUUUUUUUAAUUGUCAUUUAAUUCAUGUUUUGCUGUUUUAAGUACUUUAAAGAUGGGAUUUUUUUUGAUGCAGUUCUUAAUAUUAAUGGAAAUGAUUUUUUGAUGAAAUCUUCAAUAAUGACAAUGGCUUUUUUUGAUACAAUUCUUAAUAAUGGCUUAUUGACACAAUUCUUAAUACUAAUGUAAUUCUAAAUAUUGAUACUGGUAAUAUUCUUUUAAUGCAAUUCUUAAUGACAAUUCCUUUCAAUUUUAAAAUACAUUUUAUUAUUUGUACGUAAUUUGAAAUUAUUGUGAAGUAAUGAUUUUGAUAUUUAUGUCAAAUAAAAUAAAUCGUAGAAAUGUU